rnacentral:RNase_P_RNA from 1 species
AGGAGAGAGUAGGCGCAGGCGGUUGCAGAUCAGUCAUAGUUACUGAUUUGAGGAAAGUCCGGACUCCCGAAAGACCAAACUUGCUGGAUAACGUCCAGUGCGAGCGAUCGUGAGGAUAGUGCCACAGAAAGAUACCGCCAAUUAGUCAUUAGUCAUUAGUCAUUUGUGAAAUAACAAAGGACAAAGGACAAAGGACAAAUUUGGUAAGGGUGCAAAGGUGCGGUAAGAGCGCACCAGCAGUAUCGAGAGGUGCUGGCUCGGUAAACCCCGGUUGGGAGCAAGGCGAUAGGAACUACGGUUGGUCUUUUACCAGUUCCGCUGAAUGAGAGCCGCUUGAGGCGUUUGGUAACAAACGUCCCAGAUAGAUAACUGCCCUCGUAAGAGAACAGAACCCGGCUUAUGUCCUGCUCU